CUGAAACAAAUAAGAAUUCAGAAACGGAAAAAUUAUUUAGCAAGAACCAGAAUGAAGGAAAGGCAAAGAGGGUGAAAAUGUGGUUCUAAGACCUGCUGGCUGAUGUCUUUCAUGCAGAUUCUUGGUGUAACUGUCACAGUUCCAUUGGUUUGACAAUUUACCCCAGUGGAGAAUCUUCCCCUGGCACCAUUAGCAGUCUGUACUGAGAAGUAGCAGAGGCCUGGAUCAGCAGGGAGUAAAAGGGUAAGUGGGGUCCCCCACAGUGAUGUUACCUAAGCAAAGAUUUUGAGACGAAUAAUGAAUCUGUCUGACCAGAAACAAACUGACUCUCAUCCGUCAACUAUGAUGGGAAACUCCAACAACAACAUGACUUGUUUACACAAGCCUUUUGUGGAGAGGAAAAAAGAAAAAUGCCACCCACAAAACUAGAUGUGUUGUUCAAGCCUGUCAUUAGUAAUGGUUGAUAUCAUUCUCCCCGACCCUGCCUCUUUUGUUUUUGUGAAUACACCAAGUAUAAUGUACUAGUUUUCUUUUUCUCCACUUUUCCCAUAUAAUUCAAUUUCAGAACUGGCUCCUCAUUUUUGACUCUCUUUCCAAAGAAUUAUAAUUAAAAUACUGGUACUUUGCCUUAUCUUCUUGGUCACCAAAAUAUCCAAAACACACUGAAUAUGGUUGACCUGGUUGAAAAUUUCCUGUAGAAAAUGUAUUUCAGCAGAAAAUUUGGCUUUUGAUUACGUGAUUUUUUUUCUCCAAAAAGUAUUUCCCACUGAAUUUAGUUAUUUUGUCAAAAGGUUUUAGCCAAAAUCUUUUGAAUUCUGAGUUUUCACUAAAAAUUAAAAGAUUUCUGUGGAGAAUUUCAGGAAAACCGGGAGGUUUUUUUCAUUGUUGUCAAAUUUUAAUGAGGGGAAAAAAUUGGACCAGCUUCUGUGUGCAUGAAUGCUUCUGUACACUCUAUUACACAAUGGGAUACACACAUACAUAUCUCAGUGUACUAUAUUUUAUGGUAUAUUAAUAUUCAGGGGUCAAUCCUGUUUCCAAUCCUUUCAAUGAGCAGGUUAGACUCAGAGCCUUUGAGACAAAAAUGCUAUACCAAUGGCAUUUUAAAAUUGAGAAUAUUAAUUCCCAAAGACAGGAAGUUAAAAUAUUCAUUUUCCCAGCACCUUUAACUUAGUCAUACCAUGACUAGAUUGUAUUUUAUAUUG